rnacentral:lncRNA from 1 species
ACGACCAUGGAAAUGACUGGCUCAAAGCAGGGACUUGAUGGAGCCAACAUUGACAAGUGGAAUUUCAAAGCUCUGCUGAGAAGUACGUGGAAGUGAUAACACAACACCCUAAUAUUUCCAACUAUUCAUGGAGAAAGCUACAAAAUACAAUCCAGAUGUUUUUCCUCCCCAACUCUGAAAACCUGAACCUGACCUUUCCCUAUUCCCAGGAACAGAAAAGACAAAGGCCUUGACUUGCUGCAGACCCUGGAAGUUUCAAAAACAGACCCAUAUAGAGACCAGGGACUCACUGACUUCUGAGGGAAGAGUGUGCCCAGGAAAGCGGGGAGGCAGAGAUUGCAGGAAAAGGCAGAAAUGUGAAAGCAAAAAGGCAGAUGGAAAAGGAGGAACAAUGUUAGAGGGUGUAUUUGUGAUAACAGUUUCAAGUCUGGGUGGGGAGUGCCCUGGCCCUUUGAUUGGCCUAAGUGGGUGAGGUGCUGGGGUAAGAAAUAACUCAGCACUCAGCAUUCCAGCCUUCCCCACUGUUAGCCAUCUUUGGAGUUAUUGCUGAAGUCCUUGAGUGAAGAAUGACUCAGACUUCCCCUGGGUUCCUCGGUGCAUUUACCUCUGGAAUAAAGGCCAACGUGAUGUCCAGAAUAGAGAAAGAAAUAGUCACUGGCAAGUACAAGACACACCUCUUUCAGGGGCUACGUUAUGGACAAAGUGUCCUCCUGUGGACAUCUGUCUGAGAAACCUUCCUCAAGAAAGUCCAUGCUCCAACAAGAGGCAUCUUGGAACUGAGACAGCCAGGUGGGAAGGGCUCCUGGCAAAACUUCAAUCGGUCUGCGCACUGGGAGGAAUGAACAGUGGGAUGGAGCCAUGGAAGUCUGCACCACCGUUUUCAGCAGGGAAGGGCCUGGCCCCUCCUCUUUCUGUGCGAAACUUGAGAUUCACACUUCAAGGUCUUGGAUCUUGGACAAGUCACAACUGUGUUACCUUCAAUGAAAACAGCAGACAAAUCUUAUUUGUGAUAUUUUUUGUGAUUCUCAGAACGUGCCAAGGAUCAAUGGAAGCAUUUGCCUCUUGUCACAUUCAGGCCACUGAACAGGUGGCCUGA